GGAUAGGUAUUUUCAUAAGCUUUCAAAUGAUACCCAUUUUAUUGAUAUCGGUUACGUAGAACCGGAUACAAACCGGAUGUUGUAUUCGAACUUUUGGGUCGAAUAACCGGGUAACCGGGUAUUUCCCCCACAAAAAAAUUACAUUGCCGUAAUCAGGUUACAAAUACCUACCUGCGGCAUAGACAAAUGAAAAUAUAGACAACGAAAUGCUCUCACCAUUUAUCUUCGAAAAAAAACGGAUCAGCAGAUGUCGUCCAUAUCGUUUCAGGGGUUUGAGUGGGAAUUUUGAAGUCACUCAAUUCAAAAAUGUUAAAAAUAACAAAAACUGUAGGAUAUUUGUCAGUUGAAAAUUAUUUCAUAAUACAAGAAAUGUGAAAAGUACGUGAUGACAUCGAAAAAUAUGGGAAUAUUCCAGUGAAAUUCUUGAAAAACGAUAAAAUGUGUUUUCGAAGUCGAGUGGCUUGAACGCGUAAAUCAGGAUGUUGACUAUGCAAAAAAUGAUGAGAGCCACCUGGAAAAAAGACAAAACUAACUUUUCGUUGUCUAUAUUUUCAUUUGUCUAUGCCUGCGGUAAAAAUUUCAAAAUGAUCCGAGCAUAGCCCCUAAACUCAACUUGCUCCAAUUGUUUUAGUCAAAAUUUACAUUAGACGGGUUUACUUGCUGCAAGUCUCUGUUAAUAGAAGAGAGAGAUAAGGGAAAUGGAAAAAAGUUGCUGUCUGGAAAUCUUCAGGCAAUUCCUUUUGUAUACAAAUAACAAUGGCAGAAAAGGCAAUGAUGGAAAAUCAUGCUCUAUAGAGGGUAUUAAAUUUAUUCCAGUGACAGAUCAUUGUAUUGUUUACAAGCCUACAAAUACAUUUUGGUGAGAAUUUUCCAAAAAAAAAAGUUAUUCGUAGUGGAAUUACAGCGUGAUAGGGUGGUUUCUUUAUAUUUGGCUGGGAAACUACAAGUGGCUAUCGUUAGAGCACUCCAGCAUUUAAAUGUGAAUAAAUAUUUUGUGUCUCGUACCAUCGCUCCUUACCGUGGACGGAAGAAAACAGCAACAUCAGCAGAAAUGGUUCGAAAAGUAAAGAAGCGUCUUGAUCGAAACCCGCAUCGAUGGUCGCUCUCCGCAGCCGAUGGUCGCUCUCCGCUCGUAUUAAUCGACCGUGACUUCAGAAAAAAUGCCGAAUAUUAUCGAUACAAAUCCGUUGGACUAUUGUGUGUGGAGUAUUUUGGAAAGCAAGGUUGGCACUAAAAAAUACCAAAGUGUCGAUCACUUCAAGCAAGCGCUUCGCCGGGAAUGGGCCAAAUUACCGCAAAGCAACAUUUGGGCAGCGUGUGACGGUUUCAUGGCCAUUUGUAUACCAUAAUUGGUGCCAAAGGUGACCAAUUCGAACAAAUCUAAACUGAUUCUAAAAUUUGAUGCUAUUUCCGAUAUUUUUUGCUUUUAUUCAAUGAAAUUUAAAAAAAAUGUAAAAAUUAUGGCGUUUGACUUUGUCAAAAAAUAACUUACGAUUGGAAAAAAAUAUACAAAAUGCAAUCUUCAAAUAUUUAUGUAAAUUUUAUUUUUUCUUUAACGAAUCACAAAAAUUUUCGAUACUACUUGUUUUUAUCUUUUUUUUUUUUUUGAUAUAUGCAUAUUUUACACACAGACAUUUUCGUAUAUAUGUGUAUGUAGGUCUAAAUAAUUUGAGAACAUUUCUUUUAGUUCAUAGUGGGAUGGUUUUUUUU